rnacentral:rRNA from 1 species
AAGUAAUUACGAGUGGCGGACGGUGGAGUAACGCGUGAGCAACCUGUCCCAGACAGGGGAGUAACACUUGGAACAGGUGCUAAUACCGCAUAAGACCACGGGGUCACAUGGCUCUGGGGUAAAAGGAGCAAUCCGGUUUGGGGUGGGCUCGCGUCCGAUUAGAUAGUUGGUGAGGUAACGGCCCACCAAGCCGACGAUCGGUAGCCGACCUGAGAGGGUGAUCGGCCACAUUGGAACUGAGAGACGGUCCAAACUCCUACGGGAGGCAGCAGUGGGGAAUAUUGGGCAAUGGGCGAAAGCCCUGACCCAGCAACGCCGCGUGAGUGAAGAAGGCCUUCGGGUUGUAAAGCUCUGUUAUAGGGGACGAAGGAAGUGACGGUACCCUAUAAGGAAGCCCCGGCUAACUACGUGCCAGCAGCAGC